UUGGCUUUUUCUCGAGACGUGAGCGUGAGCUGCCUGUGAUGGCAUUAGUCGAACCUAGACCAUGUGCGUUGGAAACAAUAAUGAAUUAUAGCAGCGAAUUCGUCAAUGAAGAGGCUGUUUCUUGGCUACAGUCGCAUGGAAUGAGACUUAAGAAAGGAAAGGUAGGCAAAAGAAAUUUCUUAACAACGUAUUUUACUGCAACUUUACAUUCACAAACUUGACCGCUCCAUUGAUCUUUGUUCGUAUCUUAUCUUGCAGAAAAAGACGGUUGCGAUGGCCAAGAUCUCCUUGACAUCGCCCAAGAUGCAGACGUACCAAGGCACUACAUCCCUAUUAUAAAAGAGCGUCUAAAGCUCAAGAAAUUGAUUGCAAUGAACGUUGAACCUGGAGAUGACACGAGUUCUUCGUCGCGUGCAGAAUCAAGUCCUUCGAGUAAGACGGUUCAAACGUCGAUUGAUGAUUCAGAUAACAUCAGCGAUUAUGAAAAUUUAGAGGUGACAUUGGCACCGAAAGAAAAGGGUAAAUCGCCCAAGGAUCUCUGUUUUACGGACGAGGCGACAGAACUGAGCACUGUCUAAGUAAGUUCUUGUAUAUUAAACUUAGCAGGAUGGUGAAGAGUACAUUAUCGAUUACUUUCUUUCGAUUAUAUCCUAAAGGAAAACACACAAGGUGCCAGUUGGUCAGUUAAAGAUGACAAAUCUCGGGGAUUGCACCUACAAAAAUGGCGAGAUUUGCUUUAUUUUUAUUGAAAUAUAUUAGAUAUGUAUUUACUUGCACCAUGCAUAAAACAAAGUAAACCCAAUUUUUAAAUCUGGUAAAUUAAAAAAUUAGUGAAUUGAUAGGAUGUUAUCAGACAGUUUAAUUUUUUUGAAAACAAAUAUUUACCUACAGGUUCCUCUUGAAUGGCUUUCAAAAUUCCAACUACCAUGGAGGUUCUCUGCCUCAGUAGAGUUGGAUACCCAGAAGGGAUAUCUCAUCAGCAGCCUAAAGUACUCUGAGCAACAGUGGAUUGCAAAAAAAAAUUAUUGCAGAGUAUCCCUGUAAGGGUAGCAGGAUACUAGACUAAGUUGACUUGGAAACUGAAUGGAUUGGUAUGGUCUA